GACAGAGGGGGCAAGCGUUGCUCGGAAUUACUGGGCGUAAAGGGCGCGUAGGCGGGAUGGCAAGUCGGUCGUGAAAUCCUUCGGCCCAACCGAAGAACGUCGAUCGAUACUGCUGUUCUAGAGGAUUGCAGAGGAGACUGGAAUUCCCGGUGUAGCGGUGAAAUGUGUAGAGAUCGGGAGGAACACCGGUGGCGAAGGCGGGUCUCUGGGCAGGAAGGCUCGCAAGAGCCGGCUGACACUGAGGCGCGACAGCGUGGGGAGCAAACAGG
rnacentral:rRNA from 1 species